rnacentral:rRNA from 1 species
UACAGAGGUCUCGAGCGUUGUUCGGAUUCAUUGGGCGUAAAGGGUGCGUAGGUGGCGCUGUAAGUCGGGUGUGAAAUCCUGAGGCUUAACCUCGGAACUGCAUUCGAUACUGCGGCGCUUGAGGACUGGAGAGGAGACUGGAAUUCAUGGUGUAGCAGUGAAAUGCGCAGAUAUCAGGAGGAACACCGGUGGCGAAGGCGGUUCUCUGGGCAUGUUCUGACGCUGAGGAGCGAAAGUGUGGGGAGCGAACAGG